rnacentral:rRNA from 1 species
GUGAGUCAUCGAAUCUUUGAACGCACCUUGCGCUCCUUGGUAUUCCGAGGAGCAUGCCUGUUUGAGUGUCAUUAAAUUCUCAACCUUAUUAGCUUUUGUUGAUAAUGGAUUGGAUGUGGGGGUUUCUUUUGCUGGCUUCUUCACAGAUAUCAGCUCCCCUUAAAUGCAUUAGCUGGUGCCCCGCGUGGACCAUCUAUUGGUGUGAUAAUUAUCUACGCCGUGGAUGUCUGCAAUCAUAUGGGUUUUGCACUGCUUCUAACCGUCUGUUCAUUCGGACAAUACAUGACAAUUUGACCUCAAAUCAGGUAGGACUACCCGCUGAACUUAAGAUAUCAAU